rnacentral:rRNA from 1 species
AUUGAACGCUGGCGGCAGGCCUAACACAUGCAAGUCGAGCGAGCGGCGGACGGGUGAGUAAUGUAUGGGGACUGCCCGAUAGAGGGGGAUAACUCCUGGAAACGGUAGCUAAUACCCCAUACUAUCGGAUUACCCCUAUGGUAUUCGCUAGUAUGUGUGGUAAUGGCUCACCUAGGCGACGAUCCCUAGCUGGUCUGAGAGGAUGAUCAGCCACACUGGGACUGCGAGACGGCCCAGACUCCUACGGAGGCAGCAGGGGGGAAUAUUGCCCAAUGGGCGCAAGCCUGAUGCAGCCAUGCCGAGUGUAUGAAGAAGGCCCUAGGGUUGUAAAGUACUUUCAGUCGGGAGGCGGGACCGAAAGAAGAAGCACCGGCUAACUACGUGCCAGCAGCCGCGGUAAUAG